rnacentral:rRNA from 1 species
ACAGUGGCUAUUUGACUCAACGCGGGAAAAUCUUACCGGGUCCGGACACACUGAGGAUUGACAGACAGUAUUCAUGCCGACUGAAUUUCGACAUAUUUCAAAUGUGCGAGUUCUUUCAUGAUUGUGUGAUAGGUGGUGCAUGGCCGUUCUUAGUUCGUGGAGUGAUCUGUCUGCUUAAUUGCGUUUCAUAUUUACGAAUGUCGCUUACGUGAUUGCUGCAGACCUCGCGUCUCUUUAUUGAGUGCGACGCGUCUCUUCAACUCACUCGCACAUUCUCUUGAACGCAACGAGCGUGACCGCAACCUCUUGUUGUGUAUACCAAGUGUGUCGUUGCUUGCAACUCACACUCCAAUGCACGUAUUUUGGUCACAUUGUCCUGACCGUCGCACAGCCUCGGCUGUCGGCGCCAGCAAUGUCCAAAUAAACUUGAGGGACCGCUGUAACAAUUCUUUUAAACCAGAGGAAGGUUGCGGCAAUAACAGG